rnacentral:rRNA from 1 species
AACGAACGCUGGCGGCAUGCCUAACACAUGCAAGUCGAACGAACCCUUCGGGGUUAGUGGCGCACGGGUGCGUAACGCGUGGGAAUCUGCCCUUUGCUUCGGAAUAACUCAGGGAAACUUGUGCUAAUACCGGAUGAUGUCUUCGGACCAAAGAUUUAUCGGCAAGGGAUGAGCCCGCGUAGGAUUAGGUAGUUGGUGGGGUAAAGGCCUACCAAGCCGACGAUCCUUAGCUGGUCUGAGAGGAUGAUCAGCCACACUGGGACUGAGACACGGCCCAGACUCCUACGGGAGGCAGCAGUGGGGAAUAUUGGACAAUGGGCGCAAGCCUGAUCCAGCAAUGCCGCGUGAGUGAUGAAGGCCCUCGGGUCGUAAAGCUCUUUUACGAGGGAUGAUAAUGACAGUACCUGGAGAAUAAGCGCCGGCUAACUCCGUG